rnacentral:rRNA from 1 species
UACGUAGGGGGCGAGCGUUGUCCGGAAUCAUUGGGCGUAAAGCGCGUGUAGGCGGCUUGGUAAGUCCGGUGUGAAACCUUGGGGCUCAACCCCAAGCCUGCACUGGAUACUGCCUCGCUUGAGUCCGGGAGGGGAGAGCGGAAUUCCUAGUGUAGCGGUGAAAUGCGCAGAUAUUAGGAAGAACACCGGUGGCGAAGGCGGCUCUCUGGAACGGUACUGACGCUGAGACGCGAAAGCGUGGGGAGCGAACGAGG